rnacentral:lncRNA from 1 species
AACCACGGCUGAGGAGCCAUCCCCGUCAGCUCUGGUCCUUCAGGCUCCACAGGAAGAUCUGGACAACACCCCGAGGUCACCAUGGAGAUCCCACAGUGACCUCUGACACCUCCUGUGGUGGCACCUGAGGUCACCAACCCCAACCCAACCGUGGCUGACAGGUGACCCAGCUCAGCUCAUUGUCCUCCAGGCUCCACAGGAAGAUCUGGACAACACCCCGAGGUCACCAUGGACAUCCCUGACACCGUGGGGACCUCGGACACCUCCCUGGUGGUACCAGGUGUACCCCAGGUGUACCCAGGUGUCCCCAGGUGCAUCCAGGUGUCCCCAGGUGUAUCUCAGGUGUCCCCAGGUGUCCCCAGGUGUGUCCAGGUGUCCCCAGGUGUAUCUCAGGUGUACCCAGGUGUCCCCAGGUGUGUCCAGGUGUGUCCAGGUGUACCUUCUGGCCGAUGGCAGACACCAGGUAGCCGUGACAGUGACACAGGGCUGUCACCGGUCCCUUCUGCUCCUUCUCGUAGAGCACCUUGAACUUGUUCUUGGUGAGCGGCUGUCCCGGCUCCGGAACCACCUCGAUNUGUCAUUGUCACCAUGUCAUUGUCACUGGCAUUGUCACCGUGUCAUUGUCACCAGUAGUGUCACCGUGUCAUUGUCACAGUGUCACUGCCAUCACCAUUGCCGCCGUCGUCUUUGUGUCAUUGUCACCGUCACUGUCAGUAUCACUGUCACCAUCGCACCACUGUCACCGUGUCAUUGUCACCGUCAUGUCAUUGUCAUUGUCACCAUCACUGUCAGUAUCACUGUCACCAUCACACCACUGUCACCGUGUUGUUGUCAUCAUCAUGUCAUUGUCAUUGUCACCGUCACUGUCAUUGUCACCACCACCACCAUUGUCAUUGUCACUGUGUCACUGUCAUUGUCACAUCAUUGUCACAGUGAUGAUGACAACCGUGACAUGUCAUGACAAUGACAAUGACAGUCAUCC